rnacentral:rRNA from 1 species
GACGAACGCUGGCGGCGUGCUUAACACAUGCAAGUCGAACGGAAAGGCCCUGCUUUUGUGGGGUGCUCGAGUGGCGAACGGGUGAGUAACACGUGAGUAACCUGCCCUUGACUUUGGGAUAACUUCAGGAAACUGGGGCUAAUACCGGAUAGGAGCUCCUGCUGCAUGGUGGGGGUUGGAAAGUUUCGGCGGUUGGGGAUGGGCUCGCGGCUUAUCAGCUUGUUGGUGGGGUAGUGGCUUACCAAGGCUUUGACGGGUAGCCGGCCUGAGAGGGUGACCGGCCACAUUGGGACUGAGAUACGGCCCAGACUUCUACGGGAGGCAGCAGUGGGGAAUAUUGCACAAUGGGCGGAAGCCUGAUGCAGCAACGCCGCGUGCGGGAUGACGGCCUUCGGGUUGUAAACCGCUUUCGCCUGUGACGAAGCGUGAGUGACGGUAAUGGGUAAAGAAGCACCGGCUAACUACGUG